GGCCCCAUCGUCUAGUGGUUAGGACAGCGGGUUCUCAAUCCGUCAACAGGAGUUCGAUUCUCCUUGGGGCUACAA
rnacentral:tRNA from 1 species